rnacentral:rRNA from 1 species
UACGAAGGAGGCUAGCGUUGCUCGGAAUCACUUGGCGUAAAGGGUGCGUAGGCGGGUCUUUAAGUCAGGGGUGAAAUCCUGGAGCUCAACUCCAGAACUGCCUUUGAUACUGAAGAUCUUGAGUUCGGGAGAGGUGAGUGGAACUGCGAGUGUAGAGGUGAAAUUCGUAGAUAUUCGCAAGAACACCAGUGGCGAAGGCGGCUCACUGGCCCGAUACUGACGCUGAGGCACGAAAGCGUGGGGAGCAAACAGG